CACAUUCAACAGCAGGCAAGAAGAUCCUUGAGGACUGAAAGUGACAGAACUCCCGGGCUGAAUGUGAGGAAUGUGAUGACAAAAGCUGGUAUCAUUAGACUGGACUUCUUUCAAGACCAACAAAAGGAUUCAACCUCAGACAUAUUUCCAAGGAGAUAAAAAUCUCUGAAAGAUGGAUUACUGAAGAUAUCGUAAAAUCUAAAUCCUAAUUAAUAAACACUCCAACUGGCUGCAGUACCUGGGGACUCCACAGCUGCUCCAUACCCUUCUGCACUGGUUUAAACAAACGUUUUGUCAAAUGUCGAAGCACACCACCACCAACCUCUUAUUGCUGAAGUUCUGAAGAUUCCGCGUAUGAAGCGGCUAAACUCUACAGAUAAUUAUUUGAUGGAUGGAUGGAUGUUUAUGUGGGUUGUGCGUAUAAAAACACAUCAAUGUUUUUGCAUUAAGUUCUAAAAAAAAAUCUUUCAACUACAGUUAUAACCUAUUAAAAUAUCUUCAAGUACCUGGCAUUUGAUGAUCAGGGUUUCUUUCCACUAAAUUGUUAAAUAAAAGUGUGAGCAAGGAUUUUUAGUUAUUAACACUGGUGCUAACUCCUUCUUUCAGUGACAUUUUGAUUAAACAAAGUGGAAAACUUUGUAAGCAUAGUACCUCUGAGUUUUAUAAAGACUGGUAACUCUCAAGUGCAUGGUAAAACUAAAAUAACCUGUCAAAUAAUUCAAGACCUAUACCAGUUUUUUAAGAAACUUGGCAUUCAGCACUGCUUUGGAGUUACAAAAUAUCCUAUCACAGUGAACUCUGUGGUUACCCUUUGAGUAAUUUGGGUUUGGUUGUUAUGUUUAAUUAUAAAGAUGAGUAGUGACUUCCUUAAAAAUUUUUUUAAAUUUAAGAAAUGAUUUCCUUACUGGUUUUCUAGUCUUGUCAAUUUGAGGAUCUUGAGGAUUUUCUGAAAGCAAUCUGCACUAGGUGAUGAGGUGUCAAAUGAUUCCAAAGAAAUAAACCUUAUGGAGGGCAAUUUGGCAAUAUUGUCAAAAUUAUAAACGUGUAACCCUUUGAUGCAGUAAUCCCUGGGUCUAAAAGUUCUGAGAAUUUAUGUUACAGAAAUACUAGCACAUGUGAGAAAUGAUACAAGUGUAAGCUUAUUCACUUCCACAUUAAUUUUAAUGACAGGAAUUAAUAUAAAAGUGCAACAUUAGUGGAGUGACUCAAUGAUGAUAGAUUGAUAAAAUGGAAUAUGAUACAACUUUUUAAGAAGAAAAUUGUCUAUAUACUAAUAUGGGUAUAUCACCAAAAUAUAUUGCUAAAUGAAACAAGGGUGCAGAGCAGUGUGUAUAGAAGGUUAUCUUUUGUGUAGAAAGGGUAGGGUUCAGAAAAUAUAUUUUUUAUAGCUGCAUCAAGAAUAUCAAGAAACUAGUAACAGUUGUUACCUAUGUGUUGGGAGGAA